ensembl:miRNA
GCUGGGCGUGGUGGCGGGCGCCUGUGAUCCCAGCUACUCGGGAGGCUGAGGCAGGAGAAUGGCGUGAACCCGGGAGGCGGAGCUUGCAAUGAGC